GCUCAAAUUUGAAAUCUCACAGGUUUACCUGUGCGAAUUGUAGUUUAUAGAAACGCCUUUCGGGGGUGGCUCUGGCAUAAGUCCUUUGGAAUAAGGCAUCAUAGAGGGUGAGAAUCCCGUUUAUGGUCAGGUGUCCGCUCCUAUGUGAUGUGUUUUCUAAGAGUCGGUUUGUUUGGGAAUGCAGACCAAAAUGGGUGGUAAAUACCAUCUAAAGCUAAAUAUUGGCGAGAGACCGAUAGCGAACAAGUACCGUGAGGGAAAGAUGAAAAGAACUUUGAAAAGAGAGUUAAAAGUACGUGAAAUUGUCAAAAGGGAAACGCUUGAAACCAGUAUUGCGUUCAGGUAAUCAGCCGUUCCUUCUGGGACGGUGCACUUGCCUGCUUGCGGGUCAACAUCAGUUUGGUUCGGGAUAAAAAGCCUUGAGAAGGUAGCCCCUCGGGGUGUUAUAGCUCAAGGUCAUGUCUCGGGCUGGACUGAGGUCUGCAGUGUUUUUUGGGUAGCCAGUCGCCUCUUGAACCCCUGUUAUAGACAGCAUGCUGACUAUGACUCGGUCUAGGGAGCCCGGUUGGGAUUCCACACCAACACUUAGGAUGUUGACGAAAUGGUUUCAAACGACCCGUCUUGAAACACGGACCAAGGAGUCUAACAUAUAUGCGAGUGUUUGGGUGGUAAACCCUUACGCGGAAUGAAAGUGAACUUAGGUGGGAUCUUAGGUGCACCAUCGACCGGUCUGGAUUUUUUUUGAUAGAUCUGAGUAAGAGCAUAUCUGUUGGGACCCGAAAGAUGGUGAACUAUGCCUGAAUAGGGUGAAGCCAGAGGAAACUCUGGUGGAGGCUCGUAGCGAUUCUGACGUGCAAAUCGAUCGUCAAAUUUGGGU
rnacentral:rRNA from 1 species